rnacentral:rRNA from 1 species
UACAGAGGUGGCAAGCGUUGUUCGGAAUUACUGGGCGUAAAGGGCGCGUAGGCGGCUUGGUCAGUCCCGUGUGAAAUCCCUCGGCUCAACUGAGGAACUGCACGGGAAACUGCCUGGCUUGAGUUCGGGAGAGGGAAGCGGAAUUCCGGGUGUAGCGGUGAAAUGCGUAGAUAUCCGGAGGAACACCGGUGGCGAAGGCGGCUUCCUGGACCGACACUGACGCUGAGGAGCGAAAGCGUGGGGAGCAAACGGG